ACUCUCAUCCAAUGCAAGCGAGUUCGCAAGUCUUGGCGUCGUUGGCUCUCAGACCCUCAAUUCACCAAAGAACUAUUUUCACGAACUCCCGCUUCCAUUUUGAUCACUGGAUACUCGUGCCUGGGUCACUUCUUGGUCGACCUUGACAGGACCUGCAACCCAAAAGACGUCGUGUUGAAGCUUUCCUGUAUAAACAAAAGUCUCCGAACUUUAUGUAAGAGCAUUGUAGGCUCGUGCAAUGGCUUCCUCUGUCACCACGAAGUCCAUCAUCUCCACAUCUCCAAUCCUGUUACUGGUGAGUUUUUAUCUCUCCCAACACCUUCAAAGCCUGAUACGGUUGGAGGACGUUAUGGUUUUGGGUUCAGCCCCACCAGUGAUGUCUAUAAGCUAGUUCGGAUUAUGCCUAUACAUAAACAAGUAAUGGUUUUGACUGUUGGCUCUGGGAUUUGGAGAGACAUUGGGCACCCUCCCGACUCUUUUGAUGGAGAAACGUUGGGGAAACCUUGUGCCUACCAAAACUAUUUUGAUAGUAUGAAUGAUCAUGGGACUUAUGUCAAUGGGUUUCUUCAUUGGAUUGGGUUCUUCAUUGGAUUGGGUAGGGGGACCCAUCUCGUUUGGCAUGGGCCUUUGAUGUUGAAAGUGAGCGGUUCCAAGAGUUACCACUACCACCCUGUUCCUAUGAUCCGAGAACAAUUUGUUUUAAGCUCGGAGUAUUGAAAGGUUGGCUCUCUGUCAUUAACUUGAGUGAUGUUAUCAGUGUUUGGGUGAUGAAGGAUUAUGGGGUGAAGGAGUCUUGGUCUAAAGAGCACGAGUUUAAAGACCCAGUUGGUUAUUUUGUCACUUUCAUGUUGAAAGCUAUUACUGAGGAAGGGCAAAUUUUGGGGAUACAUCGGGAUAGAUUGCAGGCUUAUACUACCACAACAACGGGCCUUGUGACGGUUGAGGUUGAUGGAUUACCUUCGUGGAUUUCGGAGGCAUGGGACCUUGUUCCGAGCUUUGUUUCACUUAAGGAUAUUGCCAGAGGGUUGCAGCUUGAAGGGAGAUGAAGCCAGAUGGGUUAUCCCAAAGGGGUGUUUUGAAGUUCUGAUCACCGAGUUUGAGGGUUUUGGGAGGAGGAAGAAAGCCAAAACAUUAUGCGGGUGUUGCUUGUUGACAUUUUCCAGGAACAAUUUGGAUGGAGCGCAAUAAGAAUAUUUGAGGAUUAUAAGGACACGGGGGUAAAUGAACUCUGGGACAGAGUGAAAACGUUGAACCAGUAGAGCUUGAGGAGGCUGCCAUGAGAAGUAGUCUCAUUCAACAAAUUGUUGUGGUCGGCCAGGAUCAACGGCGACUUGGGGCAAUAAUUGUUCCAAACAAAGGAGGUUUUACUUGCAGCCAAAAAGUUGUCUAUUGUAGAUGUUAAUGCCUCAGACCUCAGUAAGGAUAAAAUGACAAGCCUGCUAUAUGAAGAAUUAAGAAAAUGGACUUCAGGGUGUUCAUUUCAAAUUGGACCAAUCUUGAUUGUGGAUGAGCCCUUUACGAUUGAUAGUGGUUUAAUGACUCCAACUAUGAAAAUACGAAGGGACAGAGUUGCGGCACAGUACAAGGAGCAAAUAGAGAAUCUGUACAAGUAAACCUCUUUAUCCAGGAAUUUGCAGAAGCACUUUGAAGUGCAUGUACUUUUUAUGAAAUAAGUUUAGCAAGCCCUUGGUGUAUAGCCGUUCCAAUAAACUUUUGAGUCCUUAUUUAUGUAAGUUCCUUGCUAUCUCUUCAAACCUCAUUCAUUAUUAGAAUCUGUAUAUGAAAAGCAGCAUAUAUCCUAGGUACAAGGAACAGUAGCCAGUGCAAGACUUCCAACUUCCUUUGAUUAUUUAAGUUCCUGGCUUUAAUCUUGAAUACGUUUAUAUGUAAUAUUUGUAAUAAUUUAAUGUACUUUGUACAGUACUUA